rnacentral:antisense_RNA from 2 species
GAGCGAGCCUGCUCGCGAUGGACGUUAACGAUAACGCGUGUUUUCUGAGUAAACGCGCCGCCCUUGAGUCCAUCGCGAGCAGGCUCGCUC